CCUAUUCGUUCAAGAAAAUGUUGUAUUGAUAGAUCUAUGGAGGAAAUAACAAAGAUGAGUCCAGAAUUUAGCCAAAAUGCAUAAUUUUCCAAAAAUACUGAAAAACCAAAAAUAUGACAAGAAUCUUUGAAAAUAUAACACAAUGCCUUUUGUAAUUAUGUUGUCUUGUGAUGAUAGUAAAAUUUGGUUGAUAUAAAACUGAAACAUACCUAUUCCUGCUCUAUGAAUGACUCUGUGAUGACGUUACCCAGGAUUUAACUAAUUCAGCUCCAUCAGCACAAUAAAUCAUGUUAUGUAAUUUUGUAGAGAAA